GUCUAGUCCCUUUGGAUAAUUCGAUAAAUUGGAACAAUACAAAGAAGAUUAAUUAACAUGGUCCAUGUGCAAGGAUGGCAAUCGAGAAAUACUCCAAUUUUCU
rnacentral:snRNA from 1 species